UUCAUAGGUGGACACUCAACCAUUGAGCCACACCAGCCGGGUAAUAAUUUUUAUAUUGAUUAUAUGUUAAAAUGGUCAAACUUUUGAAUUAUUAGGUUAAAUAAAAAUAUUAAAUUUAAUUUCAUCUUUGUUUUCACUAUUUUUUAGGGUGGAUACUAGACAAUUUUAAUUUACAGAUGUGACUAGCAUUAUAUUGUUGAACAUUGCUGUUCUAGACCAACACCCAUGGUAACAUGAAGCCCCCAUCUUUGAGUAUGGUGGCUGGUAAUACUGAGUAGGUGGUAACUUCCAGCUGCCAUCCUAACUUCCGAAGUUAAAUCAAGGCCCAAACUCAGCCAUUGGAACCUUUAAGAAGAAUGUUACCAACAUCUAACACCUACCAUUUAAUCUUUAACACAGUAUUGGGUUUGAGCCCAAACCAUGGAAAUAUGGUACAGAUCUGUCUAAUUAAGUCAGAUUUGAUCACAGCUUUCCACAUUUUGUAAAGAGAGAGACUGGGAAGUCCAAUAUGUUAGGAAUGACUCUGGAAAAAAUGUAGACCCCAAACAAAACUUCCACAAGUAACUUUUCACUACCACUGUUCAGCAGACAGGACAGCGGUAAGAGAAGACGUGAACAAAUGAAAAGGCUGAGUUUUCCCCAGCUUCGUUGACCAGAGAAGCAAGGGGUGUGCGUGUGUGGAAGCCACGACUACCUUUCAAGUUCAGGGUAAAAUCUCAUUCAAACCGUGUAAUCUUUGGCUUACCGGCAUCACCUUACUUUGCCCUUAGAAAUCCCCCGCAUCAGCCUCUUAAAGCAAGUACAGUGACCUUUCUCGACACAUCUUGUCCAUUCCUGUGUUUAAUGCCUGUAUAUUAGCCAAUAAUCAGAGUCUCUGAAAUCAUCGCUUGAUUCUGGUUUUUCCUUCAAGUUCUGUAUUCUCUUAAAACUUCAAGCAGAAUUUAUUAUAUGAUUAAUAUGAAACGUCAGAGUAUAUGAUGGAGUACAUGGUGUUAGGUUAGAACCACACAUACAUAAUGCCUUUUAGGCACUGUGGUUUUACACUUGGAUUCAGUAGUUCCUUUCUACAAAUUUACUUUUGGGAAACGGUCAGAUAUGUGACGAAAGAUGUAUUUACCAGCAUGAUCAUUGUGAAGUUACAUAUUGGACUUUAAAAAGAAACAAAAUAAAUAGCCGAACAACAUCCCUUUAGAUAUAGGAUUAAAGGAUUGAUUAUGUGGUUGCAACCAUUAAAACAUCCAGGUAGCUUUAUUUAUAUUAAUAUAAAAGUUGUCCAUAAUAUUAAA